rnacentral:rRNA from 1 species
AGAGUUUGAUCAUGGCUCAGGACGAACGCUGGCGGCGCGCUUAACACAUGCAAGUCGAACGGGGUCCAUUUGGUAGCAAUACCAGAGAAGACCUAGUGGCGAACGGGUGCGUAACACGUGAGGAACCUGCCCCGAAGACCGGGAUAAGCCGAGGAAACUUGGUCUAAUACCGGAUAUCUUCACCUGGUCACCUGGCCGGGUGAAGAAAUGGAUUCCGCUUUGGGAUGGCCUCGCGGCCUAUCAGCUUGUUGGUGGGGUAACGGCCCACCAAGGCUUCGACGGGUAGCUGGUCUGAGAGGACGACCAGCCACACUGGGACUGAGAUACGGCCCAGACUCCUACGGGAGGCAGCAGUGGGGAAUAUUGCGCAAUGGGCGAAAGCCUGACGCAGCGACGCCGCGUGUGGGAUGAAGGCCCUCGGGUCGUAAACCACUUUCAGCAGGGACGAAAUUGACGGUACCUGCAGAAGAG